rnacentral:rRNA from 1 species
UAGGGAAUCUUCCACAAUGGGCGAAAGCCUGAUGGAGCAACGCCGCGUGUGUGAUGAAGGCUUUCGGGUCGUAAAGCACUGUUGUAUGGGAAGAACAGCCAGAAUAGGAAAUGAUUUUAGUUUGACGGUACCAUACCAGAAAGGGACGGCUAAAUACGUGCUAG